rnacentral:rRNA from 1 species
GGUUAAGCGACUAAGCGUACACGGUGGAUGCCCUGGCAGUCAGAGGCGAUGAAGGACGUGCUAAUCUGCGAUAAGCGUCGGUAAGGUGAUAUGAACCGUUAUAACCGGCGAUUUCCGAAUGGGGAAACCCAGUGUGAUUCGUCACACUAUCAUUAACUGAAUCCAUAGGUUAAUGAGGCGAACCGGGGGAACUGAAACAUCUAAGUACCCCGAGGAAAAGAAAUCAACCGAGAUUCCCCCAGUAGCGGCGAGCGAACGGGGAGGAGCCCAGAGCCUGAAUCAGUGUGUGUGUUAGUGGAAGCGUCUGGAAAGGCGCGCGAUACAGGGUGACAGCCCCGUACACAAAAAUGCACAUGCUGUGAGCUCGAUGAGUAGGGCGGGACACGUGGUAUCCUGUCUGAAUAUGGGGGGACCAUCCUCCAAGGCUAAAUACUCCUGACUGACCGAUAGUGAACCAGUACCGUGAGGGAAAGGCGAAAAGAACCCCGGCGAGGGGAGUGAAAAAGAACCUGAAACCGUGUACGUACAAGCAGUGGGAGCACGCUUAGGCGUGUGACUGCGUACCUUUUGUAUAAUGGGUCAGCGACUUAUAUUCUGUAGCAAGGUUAACCGAAUAGGGGAGCCGAAGGGAAACCGAGUCUUAACUGGGCGUUAAGUUGCAGGGUAUAGACCCGAAACCCGGUGAUCUAGCCAUGGGCAGGUUGAAGGUUGGGUAACACUAACUGGAGGACCGAACCGACUAAUGUUGAAAAAUUAGCGGAUGACUUGUGGCUGGGGGUGAAAGGCCAAUCAAACCGGGAGAUAGCUGGUUCUCCCCGAAAGCUAUUUAGGUAGCGCCUCGUGAAUUCAUCUCCGGGGGUAGAGCACUGUUUCGGCAAGGGGGUCAUCCCGACUUACCAACCCGAUGCAAACUGCGAAUACCGGAGAAUGUUAUCACGGGAGACACACGGCGGGUGCUAACGUCCGUCGUGAAGAGGGAAACAACCCAGACCGCCAGCUAAGGUCCCAAAGUCAUGGUUAAGUGGGAAACGAUGUGGGAAGGCCCAGACAGCCAGGAUGUUGGCUUAGAAGCAGCCAUCAUUUAAAGAAAGCGUAAUAGCUCACUGGUCGAGUCGGCCUGCGCGGAAGAUGUAACGGGGCUAAACCAUGCACCGAAGCUGCGGCAGCGACGCUUAUGCGUUGUUGGGUAGGGGAGCGUUCUGUAAGCCUGUGAAGGUGUGCUGUGAGGCAUGCUGGAGGUAUCAGAAGUGCGAAUGCUGACAUAAGUAACGAUAAAGCGGGUGAAAAGCCCGCUCGCCGGAAGACCAAGGGUUCCUGUCCAACGUUAAUCGGGGCAGGGUGAGUCGACCCCUAAGGCGAGGCCGAAAGGCGUAGUCGAUGGGAAACAGGUUAAUAUUCCUGUACUUGGUGUUACUGCGAAGGGGGGACGGAGAAGGCUAUGUUGGCCGGGCGACGGUUGUCCCGGUUUAAGCGUGUAGGCUGGUUUUCCAGGCAAAUCCGGAAAAUCAAGGCUGAGGCGUGAUGACGAGGCACUACGGUGCUGAAGCAACAAAUGCCCUGCUUCCAGGAAAAGCCUCUAAGCAUCAGGUAACAUCAAAUCGUACCCCAAACCGACACAGGUGGUCAGGUAGAGAAUACCAAGGCGCUUGAGAGAACUCGGGUGAAGGAACUAGGCAAAAUGGUGCCGUAACUUCGGGAGAAGGCACGCUGAUAUGUAGGUGAAGCGACUUGCUCGUGGAGCUGAAAUCAGUCGAAGAUACCAGCUGGCUGCAACUGUUUAUUAAAAACACAGCACUGUGCAAACACGAAAGUGGACGUAUACGGUGUGACGCCUGCCCGGUGCCGGAAGGUUAAUUGAUGGGGUCAGCGCAAGCGAAGCUCUUGAUCGAAGCCCCGGUAAACGGCGGCCGUAACUAUAACGGUCCUAAGGUAGCGAAAUUCCUUGUCGGGUAAGUUCCGACCUGCACGAAUGGCGUAAUGAUGGCCAGGCUGUCUCCACCCGAGACUCAGUGAAAUUGAACUCGCUGUGAAGAUGCAGUGUACCCGCGGCAAGACGGAAAGACCCCGUGAACCUUUACUAUAGCUUGACACUGAACAUUGAGCCUUGAUGUGUAGGAUAGGUGGGAGGCUUUGAAGUGUGGACGCCAGUCUGCAUGGAGCCGACCUUGAAAUACCACCCUUUAAUGUUUGAUGUUCUAACGUGGACCCGUAAUCCGGGUUGCGGACAGUGUCUGGUGGGUAGUUUGACUGGGGCGGUCUCCUCCUAAAGAGUAACGGAGGAGCACGAAGGUUGGCUAAUCCUGGUCGGACAUCAGGAGGUUAGUGCAAUGGCAUAAGCCAGCUUGACUGCGAGCGUGACGGCGCGAGCAGGUGCGAAAGCAGGUCAUAGUGAUCCGGUGGUUCUGAAUGGAAGGGCCAUCGCUCAACGGAUAAAAGGUACUCCGGGGAUAACAGGCUGAUACCGCCCAAGAGUUCAUAUCGACGGCGGUGUUUGGCACCUCGAUGUCGGCUCAUCACAUCCUGGGGCUGAAGUAGGUCCCAAGGGUAUGGCUGUUCGCCAUUUAAAGUGGUACGCGAGCUGGGUUUAGAACGUCGUGAGACAGUUCGGUCCCUAUCUGCCGUGGGCGCUGGAGAAUUGAGGGGGGCUGCUCCUAGUACGAGAGGACCGGAGUGGACGCAUCACUGGUGUUCGGGUUGUCAUGCCAAUGGCACUGCCCGGUAGCUAAAUGCGGAAGAGAUAAGUGCUGAAAGCAUCUAAGCACGAAACUUGCCCCGAGAUGAGUUCUCCCUGACUCCUUGAGAGUCCUGAAGGAACGUUGAAGACGACGACGUUGAUAGGCCGGGUGUGUAAGCGCAGCGAUGCGUUGAGCUAACCGGUACUAAUGAACCGUGAGGCUUAACCUU